rnacentral:misc_RNA from 1 species
GAAAUGCGAAAAGUAAUGCGAAUUGCAGAAUUCAGCGAGUCAUCGAGUUUUUGAACGCACGUUGCGCCCUCUGGCAUUCCGGGGGGCAUGCCUGUCCGAGCGUCAUUACGCACCCUCAAGCCCGGCUUGUGUGAUGGGCCCUGGCGUCUCGUUCGCGAGACGGGCCCGAAAGGCAGCGGCGGCGUCGACCCGAUGAGCCCGAGCGUAUGGGGACUUUUGUCACACGUUUGCGGUGCGGACCGGCGCCUGCUUGACUUUUCUGAUUAUCCAGGUUGACCUCGGAUCAGGUAGGGAUACCCGCUGAACUUAAGC